rnacentral:lncRNA from 1 species
GUAAGUUUGAGUUAUUCAUCUGGUACAUGGAUUUUGUACUCCUGCUCAAAUGGCUUACAGUCAGCUGAAUUUUGAUGUAUGCUUAUUGUGUGCCCAUAUAUGACCUAGUGAUUAAUGUUGUUCGAUGUACUUUGACCAUAGUUAGACUUGCUUCUACUGUGGCCAAUGUUUAUGGAGUUGUGCAUGAAUUUGUUCGUAAUUUAAUUCUCUAAUCAAAUUCCCUUAAUGUUGUAUUGGUGUUGUCCUUACUCCUUACCAACGGUGCGAAAUCACUAGUAUAACAAAUAAGUUAAAAUUUACAUAUAUUACACUUGAUUCCUCAGUGUAAUACUGGAUGUAGGUAAGGGAUGAACUCGAACAGCUUCUUGACGAUGACGAUGACAUGGCCGAUCUUUACUUAUCAAGAAAGUUGGUUGGCACUUCACCUGUGAGUGACUCUGGUGCUCCAAAUUGGUCUUUCACAUCUCCUUCCAUAACCAUCGGCUCUAAAGUAUCCAGAACCAGCAGGGCAAGUGUAACAACAAUUCAGGAGGAGAAUGACGUGGAGGAGCUUGAGAUGUUGCUCGAGGUUAUAAUUUGUCUUAGGUCUUGUUCUCCUGUUAGUUUAGCCAAAUAUGAGGUCUAAGUUGAAUCUUGUUAUCUACUUUGCAGGCUUACUUUAUGCAAAUCGAAGGAACAUUGAAUAAAUUGACCACGGUAUGCACUGCAUCUUCUGUUUCAGCAUGCUCAUAUCCAAAAUAAUACAAGAUAAAUAUUGUGAUUCUAUUUCUUCAUGCCAGCUGCGCGAAUACAUUGAUGACACAGAGGAUUACAUUAACAUCCAGGUAUUGGUUUGGAAACAUGAUAUUAAGAUUUUGAUACACUAUUCCGGACUAGCUUCUUCUGUGCCAUGUAGAACCUUUUAAGACUGACAUAACUGAUCUGAUGCGUAUUGUGUUGCAGCUUGACAAUCAUCGGAAUCAGCUAAUUCAGGUAUAUCUGCUAGGAUGGAUUUAGAGACUCUCUUCCCAUGUUUUAUGAUCUGUACAUAUCCCUUUUGAUAUCUAACAUGAUAAUGAUACAAUCCGGCGACAUGCAGCUAGAGCUUUUUCUGAGUUCUGGAACUGUUUGUGUGUCUAUAUACUCUUUGGUGGCUGCAAUAUUUGGCAUGAACAUUCCAUAUACAUGGAAUGAAAAUCAUGAGCACAUGUUCAAAUGGGUAUGUACAAUAUACGGCCACAUCAUCAUCAUUACUUACUAGGUGGAAAAACAUCCCAAAAUAGAAUUGAUUUUGUAUCAUUAUCAGACUACUUUUCUAAACUAACUCUUUGUUACCCCCCUUCAACAUAAAUUAGGUGGUAAUUACAACAGGUAUAGUGGGCGCAUCGAUUUUCUUGUUUAUAGUUUCAUAUGCUCGGCACAAAGGUCUUGUGGGAUCCUGAUACCCAUACCGUAUAAUCAGUUGGGAAGGCAAUACAUAGUGAAGCUUGCAGAGUCACAGUAAUCAUCAUCAUCCUGUAAUAUUUUGUAUCCAGAUAUAGGCAAGAACAUGAUUAUAUUUGUUCAUUGGUUUACUUGUACUGAACACUUGAACAGACUAGAUAUGUAGUUUCCUUAGUGGCAUGGCACUGGGUUUCCGGGUAUGUCUAUUGUGCAGAUCUGCAUACAAUACAGAUCUAAUAUUUGCCCUAUCAGUUAGUAAAUAGGUGGUUUUAUGAGGGGCAAAUCAUAAAUGCAUAAUCACUUUAUAAACUCAACAACCAAUUACAGCCACAAGUUUGGGUCUGCAUAGCAUACAGAUCUGCACAAUAGAAUUCUCCUUGGAUUAGGAUCCUCGUCUUGGCUCCUUAGGGCCUUGUUUCUCCUCAGCUUUUAAUCUGGACCAUCUAUUGCAAAUCGAAGGGCUCAAAGUCCACCACAUCAGCAUAGUUUAGAUAUUAAUUACAAAAGUUGGCUUUUCUAGGUUAACCACACUUGACGACAAUUUCUGCCUCCGUCUCGUUCUUCUUCUUCCACAACCCCUCUUCAACUUUUUUCCGAAAACACUGCCUCUGUGUCGUUCUUCUUCUUCCAUAACCCGUCUUCACCUUUUAUCCAGAAACAUCCUCGAGAAGAAAAGUAAUGUCAAAUCCAAAAAAAUCACCGAGGCCAUUUCAAUUAUACAAUGUUAUGAACUUAUGAUAUGAAGCAAUCAUAUAUCCUCCAGAUUGGGUAUAGAUCAGUGUCCUUACAAAAUGGGUAUUGCAGAAUCUGGAAAGUAGUGAAGAAUUCAUUGAUGGGUAUAUGGGUCGGAGGCAAAAGAUUGAGCCUAAGAAUUGAUGAAGGUAAAUUGAGAAGAAUCUCCCUUAUAGUUUGAAAAGUCAAUAACCCAGGUAUUCCCUCUCAAUCAUGGCUUCGCCGGCAACCUGACCAACUUCUCCAUAUUUUCUGGUCCGAUGAGAAGGUGACAACAAACUGAAAAUAAUUAAAGAGGAAGACGAUGAGAAUGAGAAGAGUCGACUUGUGUUUGUUGAAGGCGAAGAAGACGAGACUUAGAAGCAAACGUUUACGCAGACGUCGUUUGUCAUAAUGAGAUUUAAUGCUUGUCUGGUGACGUGUCAUGAUUUAGGCCUUUAGAUAUCACAUGAACAAUUCAGAUUUAAAGACAAGGACAAACAAGAAUAGACCGUAGCGAAGGAGAGGAUCCUGAUCCAUUCUCCUUCCCUAUGAACCAAAAAUCAUGUUGCUGCUGGAGUUAACUUUCCAAUGUUGUAUGUGAUGAGUCAUUAAAUACAAAAUAUGUCUGCUGGUGGCCUAUACCAAUUGCAUUUGCAUUUUAAAAACCUGCUGGUCAUGAAGGAGCUUAGUUUUUUUUUUUUUUCCUUGAAAUUUUCUUCAUGGGAUCUCUCUAGUUUUCUAAUUGUAUUUGUUAGUGCAUUUGAUGGGACCCUGGGAGGUGCUAUGUGACGGGAUAAAAGCAGAUUCUGAUUCUCCCUCGAUGAGAACAAAUCAGUUUCCCAGUUUCAUACUUCCAGCUCUAUUUAAAUCUUAUUAUUGUUUUCUCCAAAAAAAUCUUAUUAUAAACUUAAAUUUUAUCUUUUAAUCACUUAAACUUUGUCUCUUUAUAAUUGUGUUAACUAAAAAAUUAAAAAAAAGAUUAAUUUCAAUUUGAGGUGUGUAAAUUUCACAUCCCUUAAUGUAAGUAUUAUUUUAACUUCAAUGGAGUUAAACCUCGGAAAACAACAUCAUUUUGUUUCAAACAUUUCCAACUUUUACUUAUUUGCUUCUCCAAAUCAACUAGCAAACUACAUAUACAUCUUUGGAAAAGAUUCAAUACACAAAUAAGGACAUGACUUUUGUUUUACAAUUUACAAGGACAAAAUCUUACAAAUAAUGGCAAAAUAUUUUUAUGUUUCCAUGUGUCAACAAAUCAUUUACAAUUAUAACCUUCACACAUAAAGAACUACAUAUAAUUAGUUAGAUUUCCAGCAAAUGUAGUAGCAGAUUUUUAAGAGUUUAGCUAGUGUAGUAGCAACUAUUUUCAGUAAAUGCAGUAGCAGCUAUUUCCAAUAAAUGUAGUAGCAUACUUUCAGUGGCUCAGCUGAUAUAGUAGCGACUACUUAAAGUAAAUGUAGCAGCAAACCUAUUUCCAAUAAAUGUAGUAGUAGGCUUUUAAUGAAUCAGCUAAUGUAGUAGCAGCUAUUUUUAAAAAGAAUUUGGCUUCUCUACUUGGAUUUAUGUUGCUUGGAUGACUUUUAACUAUUGGAUUGAGUAUAAUUUAACACCGUCAUGUCAUCAUUACUUCAUCUGAUGGUUAUAAAAGCAACUUAAAUCCAAGAGAAUCCGAAUCUUUUCAAAAAAAACACAGUGGCAUGUUUUUAGUGGCUCAACUAGUGUAGUCGCAACUAUUUCCAGAAAUGCAGUAACAAUGUAAGAUACAAUGUAUUACCAAUAUGGUAGUAGAAAGCUUUUAGUGACAAUUUUCAAACAAUACAAUAACAACUACAUAGCAAAAUCAAUAAACAGUGGCAUAAUUAACACAUAUUAGUAUAAAGUUCAUCAGAUAAUCUUGUCCAUUUAUAAAUUGUUAUCUAAUUUGGCAAAAAAAUAUUUAUUCCCACAUCAUGAUUACCGAACGAGUAGCAAUUAGAUGAUCAACAUGUAAAAGGGUUUUGUAUGGUUUGAGCUUAAAACCGGUCCAGUUCGAAUAUGCCCAGCCUUAGUCGGAAGCACAUAAUUUUGAGAGGCUUGGAAGUAACCUAAAACUUGACUGAGUUAUAGAAGGAAGAGAUAAGGGAAAAUGUCCUAAUGCCUAAAUAUUUGAAAACUAAAGCCCAUUCUAAUAAAUUUUUUUCCCUAACCCAUUCCAAUGAUUCUUAUUAAAAAGACAAGUAUACCCUUAUUUCAUAUCAACCAACCAUAUAUAUAUAUAUAUAUCUCUCUCUCUCUCUCUCUCUCUCUCUCCCCUGGACGACACUGACGCAGCCUAUGCUUCAACGACACCUGCACCGAUGCUGCGACAACGAGCAAUGAGUAUCCAAUCUCUAACCCUACCUCUGCUCUCUCCUCUACAACCUCUUCCACCGUUGCCAGAAAUUAACGUCGCUCGUCAACGUCCUCCUUCUCCGAGCAGGGGCGUAGCUACAUUGGAACCAUAAGGUUCAAAUGACCCCUAUGAGGUUAUGACAACAAGCAUCAAUUGGUUGAUGAUUUCAUAUAUAUUACAUUUCAAUGUAUAAAUAGACCACUCUAUCAUAAAAAGAAAGAAAGAAAAAGACAAGAUGAGAUUGUCAUUGACCAAUAAAAAAAGAUGAGGUACGGGAGAUUGUUCGAUCUGCCCACAAGUUUUUAUUAUGUUAGUAGAUUUCUAAAACAGUAAAACAAGUCAUGGCUUCAUAUUGAUCAAGAUCAUCAAACCUUAAAUUGUAAUUUACUUAUUAUUAUAUGUAUAAAUCAUGACCCUUCUAGUUGAGAUUUCUAGCUACGCCAUUGUCUCCGAGCCCCCUUAUCCGAUCCCAGCAGCAGAUCCAAAAUGCUGUGCCGCUCGCCAAACGUCGUCGCCAUCUCCGGUGUCGUCCUUCUCCGGUGACCAUGUAGUGAAGCUCCCUCCGGCUACGUUGAGGACGUCCCGCCUGUACUCGUCUUGGAUCUGCUCCUUGAUCGACUGGGCCAACGAGUAAGUUCAUAGGCAGCCUCUGCCUUCGCCUCCAUGGCCAGAUCGAAGGCAUCGAGUGCGUGGUGAGGGAGGUGAAGCAGUUUCGAUGAGGGAGGAAUAUGUACGGUGAGGGAAGGCGCAUGGUAAGGGAGUAGAUCCGGUGUGUGAGGGUGCAUGGCUCUACGGUAGGUGUAGUUGUAUUUUUGUGGCUAAUAGGUAGCUUGAUUAUUCGUGUUGUAGUUUUGACUGAUUAUUGGCAGACAAUAACUCGAUUAUGUUCUGGUAUUUCUUCUUUUCUAUUACAAUAAGCUGAAAUAAGUUGAUUAUUGGGGGUCAGUAACCUAUUAUUAGGAGUCAGUAACCGAUUAUUGGGGAUCAGUAACUGAGUUACUAGGGGUCAGUAACCAAGUUAUUGGUUACUGAAAUCCGGCAACCGGAGAAAAUCCGAGAUACUGGGUUUAGUGACCGGAAUCCGGCGACAGGAAAAAAUCCGGCAACCGGUGACCGGAAUCCGACUGUCGGUGACUAGAGAACGGUGAGGCUCCGACAAAGUCUUUUCUCUCUUGCAUUUUCUUUUUCUCUCUCUAUGCAUAUUUAAGAGGUGAAAGUAAAAUAGUCUUAAAAUAAUAUAAUUUGUUAAAACUUUAGUAAAGAUUUAUGCAUUUAAACAUAAAAAAAAUUACCUUAUAUUAAAAUGAGCUCAUGAAAAAGAUUAUCAUUAGAAUAGAAAAUAAAAGGUUUAAAUUAGUACUAAAUGAGUAUUUUCUCUAAAUGAGUAUUUUCCUAGAUAAAUAUGUGACCGCUAUGUGACCGCAUGCUCCACGUUUAGCUCGAGUUAGCCCAAAGACAUGUGGACACACUUGCUUAUACCUGGCCGUCGGAUUCACGAAACCCGGUGCUCUCCUAGUCUCCUCUCUAAAAUAAAUUCACCAAUAAAAGAAAACAAACAAACAAGGAAGAAACAUCAUUUUGGUUCAUGCUCUUUAAGACCAAGAGAAGCCUCUCGAUUCAGAUCAACACCGCGACCCUUUUGUUCAAUCCCAUCGAAACCCACGUCAAAUCUCCUCAAAUCCCACAAACCCAUCGAAACAUCACUCAGAGAUUAUAUCUGUGUGUAUGUAAAUCCCGUUCUUUGUUCCCUAGAUGAUGAUGAGUUUAAUUUACAUGUGUUUGUGUUGCGUUGUGUUUAAUCUCGGCUGUUGUGGUUUAUUCAAUGCAGGUGGAAAUGGGACGUGAGUUUUGUAUGCGCGUCAACAUGCAGUGUGUGAAUUGAUACGUGUGGGAAUUGGAUUUUGAUAAUUUCGAGAAAGAGAGAGCGGUGGAGAGAUGGCGAAUCAGGUGGUGAAGGUCCAGAGGGAGAAGCUUGAAGCAUGCAUGACCUGCCCGCUUUGCAAUAAGCUGUUCAAGGAUGCCACCACCAUAUCUGAAUGUCUUCAUACGUGUCAGUAGUGCUCUCUCUUUUAGCUCGUUUAUGUAUCUAUCUCCCUUUGUUUGGCUUUUGAUUCUUGGGAUUUUGGAGUCUUUUGGCUGUGAUUUCCUUGGUUUUUUUAUGUUUUCUGAAAUCUGGGUGGUUGUGUUUUGAUUGUUUCUCAUCUGGGUUUGGCUUGGUUUGACUAGUCUUGCUGGUUUUGGGAUGUGGGUGUUUUUAAAGUUUCAUGCUUUGAACUGAGAACAGCUUUGUUGGUGGAUUAGCCUGGCAAAUGUUAACAAAGCUUCAUUCUUGUUACAUUGAUAUACAUGGCGGUACUUUCAAUGAGAAGUGAUAUAACUUGACAUUUCUAGAGGCCUCUGGUUGCAGUGGCCUAAGCAGCAUUGCUUUUAUAUAGGCUCAUAGGAUGAAUAAUAGAUACAUAGGUUUCUGUAUUUUUGUCAGUUCUCCUCUGUUGGUCUAUGCAGGUAUAUAAUGAUGUUCAUAAUCUGUAUGAAAGGUUCUCCUGUUACUUCAGCUAGCCUCUUUUUCAUGAUUAAGAAUUUUGCUUAUUUGAUUGCAUGGAUAUUCUCAUGCUUAUUGCAAGAGAGUUUUGCUUAAAAGUAUUUUACCUCUUUGAAUUCUCAUGACUGAUGGAGUUAUAACUCAAAACUUCUUCAGUUUGCAGGAAGUGCAUUGUUGAAAAGAUAACCGAAGAGGACAUCGAAAACUGUCCCAUAUGCAAAACCGAUCUGGGCAGUGUGCCCUUGGAGAAGCUAAGGUUGUUAUUCUUUGUUUACUGUUGAACUGAGAAAAAUAUGACAUGAUGAUGCAUCAUUUGGAUGAAUUGGUUUUCUUUAUUAAUUUUUCAAGUUGAAUAUUUCUUUUUAGUCAGCACGACAUGGUUUAUGCCAUUACCAUAUGACCCCUGCUUCUCGAUGAACUGUGCAACUUUCUACAUUAAGCAAAAAAAAGGUUUUCAUAUGAAUUAUAGUGUUGCCUUUUAUUGUUUCAGAUCUUUUUUUGCGCAUAUAAUUCCCAAUUUUCCGUUUCAGUCGGCAUUCCAUGUUUAGGACAUUACCAUGCAUAGAGCCUACUCAGAUCAGUAAAGAAGCACUAUUAUUAGGAUAUGAGUGUUCAUUGUGGUGAAGAUUCAGUUCUUGCGGUUGAUGAAUAUAGCGAAUUUAUUGGAGGUGGUAUUAAAUAUGUUAAGUUUCGUGACUCUCUAUGAGAUUAUGUCCAUGCUACACGUGGCUGCAUUUGUAAUCAUACAAAUGUGCUCGAGUUAGCUCUUGAUGGUUUCUGGAGAUCUUCUGAUUCUGUAACUGUAAUUGUUCGGUUUCCUUCUUAGUUGUGUAUGCUUACUAGUCUAACCAUGCUUACUAGUCUAACCUUCACAUAUCAUUAAGAAAGGACUAUCAUCUGGAUGUUGGGUUUAUUCUGGGAGAUGUUGACAAAACUUUUCAACAUGUUUAGAUGAGACCGUAAGACCGAACAAAAGAAGGAUAUUGUACUAAAGAGACAUGUUUCCUAACACUUUAUGAGCUUCUGUUUGGUUACAUAUGGCUGCAUAUGCAAUCAUUUGAUGAUUUAGUUGUCGAUGGUCUCUGGACAUCUGUAGUUCUUCAAUCCUUGUACACAUGUAAUUCAACAUUCUAUUUGUAAUGAACAAUAAACCAAAUUUUAGAGUAAUCUUAUGACUCUUUUUUUUUGUAUAUAUAAAUCAUGAUAAUACUUUGUAUAUUAGGCCUGAUCACAGUUGGCAAGAUGUAAGGGCCAAGAUUUUCCCUUCCAAAAAAAGAAAGGUAAGUGAACCUGAAAGUACACCUUCAGCAUUUCCGGCUAGAAGAAAGGAGAGAUCACUCUCGUCAUUGGUGGUCAGUACUCCCAGAGUAUCGUCAACCCCGGCAACCAUGACUGGAAAGAGAACUAAAGCUGUUGCAAGAAAGGCUUCUACUUUACAAGGAUCCAGUUUGUUGGUUGAGAGGUCUGCUAAUAAUGAGGACGAGUCUGCAGAAGAUCAUGCAGACAGCCAAAGCUCUGCAGAGGCCUCAAAAAAGUCCGGUGAAAAUACCAGGCCGGUGAGUAUGCUUUUCCCAAUAUGCAGUUUCUGUAAUGCCGAUAAGUUUUGUUUCCUACAAGCUUAAAAAGAAAGCAUACCUUUUGGUUUAACAUACUAACGUUUAUUGCUUUCUAUUUUGACUGGUACAGAGUUCGAUUUCUGCUGAACCCAACGAAACUGUAUCCAAUAAAGAAUCUGAGAAUGGUGCUGAAUCAUGGGAUGGGAAGGACCUUUGGAAACCUCUAAAUUGUUUGGUGGAAGUCGCAAAUCGGACCAAGUCUCUAAAACCCAAUUCACAAGGGUCUGAAAGAGUAGAACCAGCUAUCAGUCCCGGUGAAACUCAAGUUCGUAAAUUCAAAAGUAAAGAAAACAAACAGAAGUCAAAAGUUGACGAUGAAAAGAAUAACACUCACCUGCCCUCUCCGGAAACAAAUAAACCUAAAAAGUUGCGGAGGGCUCGCCAAAAGAGGGAAGCUUCAGGAGAACCAAGCGUUACACCCCAAGCUGUUUUGGACGCAGCCAGUGGCAAACCUGAAAGAAGAGUUGGUCCAAUUUGGUUCUCCCUAGUAGCUUCUGAAGAACAGUGAGAUUUUCAACUUUUUCUAAUUCUAUCUGGUUCAAUUCUUUAUAGCAUUGAUUGAUUUUGUUCAUUUAUUUCUCUUUAAUAUUGGUUUCAGGGAAGGAGAAGAAUGCUUGCCACAAAUUCCAACAAACUAUUUAAGAAUAAAGUGAGUUCUUUUUGUCUUGUUGAUGCAUUUCUGAAAUGCACAAUUCAUCAAAGAUUCUUAAGCGUUCAUGUUUGCAGCACUAUGCAUAGAUACGGUCAAUACAUUAGGUUCAUCCUUACUACUAAAUGGAGUACAUAGUUAAAGAGUGUCAAAAGCAUAUUACUACUACUUUCUCUCUUUUUUCUAAGCAUGUCAAGAUGGGAGAAUGAUUUUAAUCAUUUUAUUAUAGGGAUAGAGUUUCUUUGAUGUUUAGUCUGUGGUUCAUUUGGUACAGAGAUGGAAGUGUGCCUGUCUCAUUUAUCCAGAAGUACCUAAUGAGGAAGCUAGACCUUACUAGUGAAACUGAGGUAAGCUAAGUUCUUUUUAUUUUUAUUUUAACCUCUUUUUUCUGUGGCAAUGCCGUGGGCAUUUCAUUGUUAACUGGUCUGGCACUCAUAGUAGUUGCUAGUUUGUAAAUCUUAAGCCCUCGGGGUCUAAUGGACUUUUAGAGAUAUUUCCUUUUGGUUAUCAACAUUCAAUUCUUGCAGAUUGAGAUCAAAUGCAUGGGACAACCAGUGAGCCCCUCAUUGGAGAUGUAUAAUUUGGUUGACUUGUGGCUACAAACUGCAUCACCUACACAAAGAAUUCCAGCAUCCAUUGGUUCCUCUGCCAAGGAUUUUGUGAUGGUGCUCGGGUAUUCUCGAAAGAUUUCAAAAUCCUAAGCAGCGUCUAUCUUUGGUUCCGUCCGGAUCUCCGGUGUGUUUCAAGUGAAUGUGUUGCAAUCACCAUCUACAGCCAAAUGCAGGAGCAAGGACAAACGAAUCCCUACAGAACCACUCGUUUAUGACCCGCCUUGCAUAGUGCGGCAUGUUGUUGGAAAAUGGCCAUUGCCAUUAUUGUACCUCAUCAAAGAUUUUACUUAUUUUAAGACAAGUUAGCCUUGAACAUCUUAAACUGACAGUUUGACUGAUGCCCAGUUUCUGGGCGCAUCUUAUGUUUCUGUACCAUUAGUUUAUUCAAUAUAUGCUCAUACUUGGUUACAUGUUGAUUGCCUUUUUGUUAUCUAUCUUAUUAUGAGAUAUGUGACCAGCGUCAGCCAUGUCAUUUUGUACCAAGGUACAACCCACAGAUACCAUUAUACCAACUACAGGAAUUAGACAAGGUGACAAAUUGUCACCUUAUCUAUUCAUCUUGUGUGCAGAAGGCUUAUCUGCUCUCAUUCACCAUGCAGUGGAUUACAGUUUCAUCAGUGGUCUAAAAAUGGCUCCUCAAGCACCAACUCUCCAUCAUUUAUUUUUUGCAGAUGAAAGUCCACUCUAUGGGACUGCGAAUGCAAAUGAAUGUCAAAAUUUUCGUACAAUUCUCUCUUUGUAUGAACUUGCAUCAGGUUAGAAGAUCAACUACCAAAAGACCAGUGUGGUUUUUAGCAAAAACAUUGAGAUGGAAGUACAAGUCAAUUUGGCUGGUAUUUUAGAUGUGCAGCUUGUUGAUGAACAUGACAGAUAUCUAGGCCUUCCUCUGCAUGUGGGAAAAUCAAAAACUGCCAAGUUUGAAUAUAUCAAAGAAAAAGUGACAAAGAAGGUGAUUAACUAGAAAACAAAAAUUCUAAGUUCAGCAGGUGAAGAGAUUUUAAUCAAAGCUGUGGCUCAAACAGUUCCUACGUAUGCCAUGAAUUGCUACUUAAGGUCUAUGUGAUGAUAUACAUCAGCUAUGUGCAUCUUUUUUCUGGGGUGAUACAGAUGAGAAAAAGAAAGUGCAAUGGAGAAGUUGGGAAAGAAUGUGCCUUACUAAAGCAGAAGGCGGAAUGGGGUUUAAAAUUAUAUACGCAUAUAAUCUUGCAAUGCUUGCGAAACAAGGUUGGCGUAUACUUUCCAAACCGCAUUCUCUUAUUGCUCAAAUUUUCAAGGCAAGAUAUUAUCCUCAUAGCUCUUUUUUGGAAGCUGAACUAGGAGAAGCCCCAUCUUUCUCUUGGCGCAGCAUCAUGCAAGGCAGAAAAGUUCUGAAAGCAGAUUUACAGUGGAAAAUAGGCGAUGGAAAAAAUGGGGUCAUUUGGAAUGAUAAAUGGUUGCCUCUUUCUACGCCUGAAUUCAUUCAAAAACCUGUUGACUGUACUCUAACCAGGGUGAACGAACUCAUCAAUGAACACACGAGAGAAUGGCAUUCUAAUGUGAUUACUGCUACUUUUCCACCUUACAUUGCAGCAAAAAUUAUGUGUAUUCCACUUAGCAGGAAAACCACUUCUGAUAGGUUGAUAUGGUUUCCAGAAAAGAAGGGUAUGUUCUCUGUCAAAACUGCAUAUUGGAUUGCAAGGAAUCAGGUGUUAUCAGAAGUUCUUACCACCACCUCAUCUGGUAACCCUUUCUCAGUGUUAUGGAAAAAGUUGUGGGCAGCAAAAGUCCCUGGUAAAGUGAAAGUAUGUGUAUGGCGAGCUUGUAAUAAUAUCCUUCCCACAAGAGAGAGGCUGCUGCUAAAAGGUUAUGAUGGAGAUCUAAGGUGUUUGUUGUGUAACUCAUCUCCUGAAGACACAAGUCAUCUAUUUUGUAAUUGCCCCAUUGCUGCUAGCAUUUUUGGUACUACUCCCUUUUAAUUUACAACAUACUAUGCUUCCUAUGCUUGUUUUUAAAAGAAUGGAUGUUGGAAAGAGCCAGUCACAUGACUUCAGGGAUUUUUGCGAAAUUAUUGGUUGUCAUUUGGUCACUCUGGAACAACAGAAAUGAUGCUUUGUGGAAAAACAAGUCUCAGAAUGCAGAGUAUGACAAUCAGUAGCUUUGCUUGGCUAGAAGAAUACCAUAAAGCCAAUAGCAGUGGAAAACAGCACACUGACAGUGAAAAAAGUUUGGAAACCAGCUAGCAAUGGCAACAUGAUCUUGAAUGUGGAUACUGCGUUUCUUCCAAACCAACACAGAGAAGGAAUUGGGGGUGUUCUAAGAGAUGCGGCAGGUAACUUCAUUGCUGCAUUUACCAGGUCUAUUUCUCACACUGCAUCGCCAAAACAGUGUGAGCUACUAGCUAUCAGAGAAGGAAUGGAUAUGCUAUACUCACUACAAACAUGCAAUGUGCAAAUCCACAGUGAAUGUCAAGAGGCAGUGGCAGAAGUCAAAACACCUGACUAUGAGUUGUUAGCUAAUGGUGGAAUUGUGGAUGACAUUAGGCUUGUUCAGCAGAAAUUGAUGAAUGUGUGUCUGAAACACAUACCCAGAACUUGUAACAUCAUUGCUCAUAGACUAGCAGCUAUAGCUUUUAAGGACAAUCUAACCUGUACUGGGCUAGACUAUCCCCCAGAUUGUAUCACUGAUAUCCUCCAGAUCGAAAUUGAAAGACUCCAUUGAGUCUGCUUAAUGAAAUCAUUUCAUUUGAUCAAAAAACAUCUCAAUAUACUGCAAAGGUAACGGUCCUUGUAAAACUAGUGCGAUCAGAACAAGACCAUACACAAAUUUCAGCUUCAAAAUUUUGUAACAAAACCAGGAACCAAUCCUUUCACUCACUGCAACUCAUCUGCAGCAUUUGCCAAAAGCAUUUCAUUAACUCAAUACUCUGAUUACAGCCCACCGCCCAGCUACACCACCGAGCGAACCCCGCGGUAUCUUGAUCAGGUUAUGGGUUAUACACCUCAAGGAGGCACAAUCCAUGCUUAAACUAUUCAUCAGGCCUAACCAAAAAGAAGACAUUUAAAUCCAAAUCUAAGCUUUUCAAGAAAGCCUCUUUUCCCCUCACAAACUGAUCACAGCUUGAAAACCUCUUUUCAAAACGUACUAAAAUUCUGCCCAAAAAUGGUUUCGAAAUCAAUUCUCUUUUCAUCUUGCAAUAAAAGGUUAACGGAUGAAAACCUUGUAAUUAAGAUCAAAUCAGAAAGGCAUCAUUUGCCCAAAAUCAAAGUAAGGAAUUGAGAGAAGAAGGCUGUAAUCUUAGUAACUCAACAAAGGACAAGGGAGUGAAUGGGCUUUAGCUUAUCCAAAACUGACUGAGGAAGUCAAUAAUUUCAAUUAAAAGGGACAAUGAAACUACUCAGUAUAUAUAGGUCGAUAUAUUGACCAAAGUUCCAAAGAAGAAUGCACAAACCAAGAUGUGAUUCUUUGAAUUUCUCAGCAUUUUGAACACUUAGGCUGCAAAAGAAUAAUGUCAUUGAAGGCCAGACACAAGAAGGAAUCAGUUAUGGAAUACUUUUUUUCUUUUAUAGGAAGACAUAAAGCUUUUUGCUAACUAGUUCAUAUAAAAAUGAUGGGAUUCCUUGACGCCAAAGUAAUGUAGCAAGAAUAGUAAAGAAUCGAUCUUUAAUGAUCAAAUGAAGAGGGUCUCAGACUUUGUAAUCAGAAUUCACUAGAAGGUAAAAGGGUUGAGCUCUUUCUUUAAAAAAAGAAAGUCAUUGAAGGAUUUGCUGCAAGAUAGGAUUUGUAAAAGAGGAACACAAGAGCUGCUGUAUUUUUAGGGAAACCAAUUUUUGAAAAGAGAACUGAACAAGAAUGGAUAUCAAAUAUUGGUAUAGAUCAGUUGCUGCUACUAAUGUUAUAGAAAGCAAUGGAACCAAGGAAAGCAAUGGAACCAAGACAAUCAGGAAGCACUCUUCCUUCUGCAUAUGAAUUUUUGAAUGACCAUCCUUACUUACAUAUGACUCAAAGACAAGAUCCAAAUCAAGUUAAAAGGUCAUGAAGGAUCAAUUUGAAUGGUAGAGACACUAACCAUGCUUGAGCACUCACUGAAGGACCAAACCAGAUUUCUAGAUUUCAAACGACAUCACAAUUCCAAUAAAACAUCUUUAUGAACAGGCUUUAAUCGAAACUCAAGCAUGAAAAACGAUAUAAUCCGAUCAUAUAUGAUAAUUGCACAGAAGAGUAGAGAAGGUAACACAACCAUUCUUUCCAAACACACCAAAGUAGAAUCAAAGCUAUAAAGAAAGGUUGUUUUCCCUACCUCAAAUUCCUACGAAUCAGAUGCCAAAACCUGCAAGACGUCAAGCAAAACCUCCACACCCAAAUACCCAAUCCAUCCUAAUGAUCCAGCCACCUAGGAAUCGGAUUUUUAGAUAUGAAUCAAACUCCCGUUUAUUGAACAGAUCAAAUGAGAACAUCAGGAUUUAUAGAAGAUUAGAAACAAUAACUUACAAGAAUUAAACUCUGUCUAGAUGGUGAAACUGAACCUCUUGGACAGUAGAAUUCGCUCAGUUCUCAAGAGCUAAGCAACUGAAAUUUGGGUAAGUGAAUGAAUGGUUUUGGCGCAAAGCAGAAGGAAAAAAACACAUGUGAUCUAAUUUGAGCAAACUCAAAACAUAUAUACAAACAAGGUAAUUCAAUUAACCUAUUAAAAUAAAAAAUUCAAACCAUCACAUAUAUGCCUAGCCAAGAUCCAUCUAUAUUCACAUAUUUGUUUGUUCGUCCAUGCCUAGCCAAGCUCAUCUACACUGCACUAAUGAAUUACAGUGCAAUCUUCGAAAUGUGCUCUCUAGCUACUACAAGCAAGUAUAUAGUUCAGCAACCCCAUCAUAAUAACAGUCUUCCACACAGAUUAUGUUCCAAGACAGUAAAUACCAAAAUCAACCGGAAAAACAAAAGGCACAAAGCGAUAACCAUUUUCAAGAGAGAUAGUCAAUAGAGCAAACUCAAGAGAAAUACAAAUUAGAGGUUUAACAUUUCAAUUCAUGAUGAGCUCUAUUGAGCAGAAGAGGUACUGUCUAUGCCAGAUGGAUUAUUAGCCGGGCUAAUAACUAUCAAGCUAAUUGCUGCUCUAAUGAGGGGGUACCUGGUUGAUUCUAUCACAAACUGCAGUAAAAAAAACUAAAAAACCCUAACACGCUACUCAGGAGGGCGAGGGGUGCUCAUCUCUUUGAAGAAGAGAAGGAAAAGGGAUGGUGGUCGGUCUACCCACUCUUGGCAUAACAACCUCAGCCUUGCAUGUUGUCCUUAGAAUGCAUCGAUCUGUUCUCAAUUCAAAUGAAAAGAAAAUAAACAAACGGGAAACAUCAAAUGAAAAGUGACUUGAACUAAUAACAAAGACAAUUGACUUUGAUCAUACCUCAUCACCACUAUUCAGCGGGUCAGCACAUACAAAAGCCUUGCAUAAGAAACUGUCAGGAAGGAAAUCAUAAUGAUCUGAAGCUUCAACAAUUGUGCAGAGGACACCAUUCUGAAUGAAAACUUGAAACAACACGAAAGGCAUAUGAACAUGAACAUCCGCAUCCGGGCCUUGAAGCGUGUAUACUAACCAAAUGUAGUCGACCUCACCAUCUUUAUACAAUCCCAUAAAAGCACUAUCAGCAUCAAAAUAAGAAAAUCCCCUGAGCAUGCAGAUAUCAAACAUAUUAUGUAGUACCCUGCUAGGUGUGAGCUCAUCAGGAUUUCCAUGGGAAUCCAAGGGACAACAAACAAGUUUCCCAGAAGGUGCGAGCCCAAUCAAAAAACCUUGAUAUUCAACAGCAGCUGUGAACUGAUGACGACAUCUAUACCAUCUCUCUUCAUAUAAGUCAAAAGUGUAGGCUACAGGACUCAAGUCACUAAGGAGUGCAGUAUGUAAUGAUGGAUUAAUACUACUUAAUGAUGGUAAAGUGGUCGGACAGUGAUUGGGGCGAGUAAUGAUAUGGAACUUGUGUCCCCAACCAGUUUGGCUCAACACUCUAAUAUCAUCAGGCGGAUUAGGAAGGACUUCUUGAGUGCAGCCAUGAUAGAAGAGUUGCAACCUAUGAAAAGAGAGCUGUUGUGGGUCUGUUGCGUCCAAAACAUAAUUUGAAGACUUAAAUCGGUAAAAGAAAACAUCACGCUUGGAUUGGGUCGUAAACCAAGAACACAAGUCCGGAUUGGAGGAGAGGCGGAGAGGAGAUGGGAUGGGUCUAAGACGAUCAAAGGCAAUCUCAUAAGCAACAUCAAUGUUAGGAUUAAAACUGAGAAAAGGCACCCAACCCCCAACCAAAAGUAAAUCAUCCUCAACCACGACGGGAUGCAUAAAAUAAUAGGGAAUUUCACCAUCAAGCGAAAAAAAAUCCACUGUGGGUGUGGAAAGCACAAAAAAGGGCAUAUUAUUGAUAUCCCCCUCCAAUUUUUCAAACUCGACAUGCGGAGGCACAUACAGCUUUGGAGGAACCUUCUCUCUGUUCCGGAGUUUACUAAUAUCCAGCGGCAGCCGGUACACUCCACGAUCUGUCACCACACAUAGUUUCGCCUUCGCCAUCUGCGUAAAUAAAAACAAAAGAAACCUAUGAUACUCUUUCUCACAAACCCUAAAACCAAUUUACAAAAUGCAAAAGCAUACCGGGAUCGGGAUCGGUUCUCUUAGAGAAAUGAUCUUCGGCUCUGUCUGUAUCAAAAGAGAAAGUUGGGGAUUUAGGUUAUCGUUUAGGGAUUGGCGCGUUAACACAGAUUGGAUGAGAGAAUACUCAACGAUAAAAAAAUUAACUAACCAUGAUUUCCUGGGCAGAGGUUUCGGCAGACAGCAUUUUCUGAUGGAAACGAACCUCUUCUGUAUCUUAUAUUAACAGGCGCGGAUCUAAAGCAGUGGUUGGUUGGGCUUUUUUCUGGGUUUAAAAAAUUACUAGGUAUAUUAUGGGCAUUUUGAAUUGGGUUUUUUUUCCAGUCCAGCCCAGCUGACUUCCCAAACUGCUGCGCAUUUCUCUUCCUCUCUACGUGACUAGGGCCUCUAUUCCUCAGUUUUCUCAGUUCCUAUUCUUCUUCCUAUAAUGGAUCUCAAAUUGUCAAUAUGAACUAUUACAUUUCAAUAUUAAGGAAAAUCUAAUAUUAUUUUAAUUUUUGUUGUGAUGAAAUAGAUUUAGAUAUGUCAUGUCAUUAAAGACAAUUAAUCGUAACCAUUAAAAGUUCUUAUAUCUAACGGCCUUAAAAAAAUGUAAAAGUUGGUGUAAAAAAAAUGUCCCUUGAACCGGACCUUUCAAUAUAUUAUGAUUAUUAUCAAUUUAAGGAAAUUGAAGUUAAAGUUUGCUCAUAUGCAAUAGUUUACCGAUAUUAAGUAAGGAACAACCUAUUAAGUUUGCUCAUAUGGGUAUGUAAGUGAAUUAGGACUUCUAGAUGACUAGAAACUUAAAGAUUUUCUCAAUCUAUUAAGUUUACCGAUAUGAUUAAAAGAAGCUCAUUGCAAUCUUUAACUAUUGCAAUCUAUUAAGUUUGCUCAAAUUGUCAAUAUGAACUAUUGCAUUUCAAUCUAUUAAUUUUCAGAAAGGCUUUGGGAAGACUAAGAUACAAGCCCAGGAAGUCGGCCAUAAAAUAAGCAAAAAUUGGAAUUUCAGAAUAAGCUUUCUUGGAGCUAUUUUGGGAAGCCAUUCGCGCCAUCUUCCAGGCUGUAUCUUGCCAUUCGCCCUAAGUCCUUCAAGUACGUAUAUUGUACUACAUUCUAAGCUCAAGAACUUAUCAAAAACAUCAUCUGAGCAUGGCAUAUAUCGUGCCUAAAGUUGGCAUCCUGAGCAGCAAAAUUCCGUCAGCUUUUUUACUUUUUGUGGAGCUGAUUGCUCAGCUCUCUUGGAAGAUUUUCGCAGUGGAGUUGGUUCAGUUUAGAUGGCAUGAUGUCAAAGAUCAGCAAAGAAUCAUGAAACAACCAGUUAGUGGUUAUCAAGAGUUCAUUCUAUACAUCUGAGGCUAAAUUUUCUAUCAGUUAUGCAUUAAGAUUUAAGACCAAUACAUGUGGUCUUCGUGCCAUGUUUUUAAUCAAGCAUGGGGGCUUCCUCCCUUUAUCAAGGUACGAUGUUCGACAUGAGCUUAAAGCAUAUUCUUGACAAAAUGUGUUUCAUCAUCUUUAAGUCCAGAUGUUCAAGUUAAGUGCAUUGAUUAUCAUGUUGGUGAUUAAUUGUAUUUCUAUGUGGAUCGUUUUGCAACCUCUGCUCAUUGUCAUUAAAGCUUCAAAGACCUAUUUUAGAGGUUUGUUCGUUACAUUCGCUUAAGCAAAGUGUUUUCUUAGUUUGGUGUUUGUCAGUCAAGACUCAAGCCAGUAAGUGGCUUUCGUCGUUAGUCGUUACGAAUGAAGCAUGGGGGCUCAAAGGUCUUUUCAAUCAAGACGGGUUUAGGUACAAAAAUACCACUAAUGAAAAAGGUCAACAACCAUAAAAAAUCUUCGGCUGACCUCCGACGAGGUCUCUGGCCGACCUCCGGCAAACUUUCCGGCUGACCAUCAAUGACAGGGUGGGUUCGGUUUUGUUCGGUUCGGUUUUCACCUAAAACUGGAAACCAAAUCGAAUAAAAAAUUCGGUUCGGUUUGGCAUUUUUUGAGACCUUGAACCAGAAACCAAACCAAACCAUGGUUCGGUUCGGUUUCGGUUUUUUUUUUCGGUUUUUCUUCUUCUUUUUUAAAAUAAUUUUUCUUAAAAUUUGUAUGCUUUUGGCUUAGUAAAAAUUUAUCGUACUUUAGGUCUUCUUUUUUUUCUUCCAUUACUUAGUUUUAUAAACACAUAUAAUAUAUCAAUAAAAUUUAUGACAAUGAUUCUCCAAAAAACCAAUAAUCUAUAAACCAAUAGAUACUUUGAAAGUUUAAUACUCAAUAAUUUCAAAAGUAUUGGGAAUUGACCACACUAGCACACCAUGAAACCAUAAUUUUAAAACUUCUAAGUUCAUCUUGUACAAAAAAUAUAGACUCCAUAGUUUAAAGUCCAUCCAAAUAAAUUCCAAAUUUUAAAGUUUAAAAAUCAUAAAUUUGAAUAAAGAAGAGAAAAAUAAAUUAAAUAUUAUAGUCUAUCAUCUAAAGCUUGCAAGAAUAAGAUCUUCGAUUAUAGAGUUAACAUAUCACUCUCUAUACUUCGCAUACACGACACCUAUAACAUUUCUAUAUGUACAUAAAACGAAAAUAAAAAGCAAAAUAUUAGAAAAGACAAACAUAUAAUUAUAUAGAACAUAAAACCUAAAAUCAUAUUCUUCAAAUCAAAUAUUUAAUAAGAAAAUAAAGACAAAAAAGACGUCGGUUUUGAGAGAUUCGGUUUUUCGGUUCGGUUCGGUUUUCCAAGGGCCGAAACCAAAAACCAAACCAAACUAGUUUGGUUUGGUUCGGUUUUUCUUAAUUCGGUUUGAUUUUUGGCUCGGUUUUUUUCGGUUUUCGGUUUCAAAAUUCCACCCCUAUCAAUGAGGAUUCUAGCGACCACAAAAGCUACUACAACCGAUAACAAAAGAUACUACCGCUAGCAAAAAAAGCUACUACCACUAACAACAAAAGAUACUAUCGAUAAUAACAAAAGCUACUGCCACCAGCAAAGAAAGUUACUACCACUAACAACAAAAGAUAUUACCUCUAGCAACAAAAUGUAUUACAGGUAGCAAAGAAAGCUAUUACCACUGAUAACAAAAGAUACUACCAUCAUCAACGAAAAGUACUACCGCUACCAACAAAAAAUAUUACGUACUACCAACAACCAAAACUAUUACCACCAACAAUAAUAGCUAUUUCACCAGCAACAAAAGAUACUACCGUCAGCAACAAUAGCUACUACUGCCGACAAUAAAAACUACUACCUCCGACAAGCAAAGCUACUACCUCUAUAAACAAAAGCUACCGCUAGCAACAAAAGUUACUACGACUAGAAACAAAAACUACUACCGCAACAGAAAAUAAAAAACAACUACUGCAACUAACAAAAAAGAACUAUUACCGCCAGUAACGAAAGCUACUAACUAGCAUGAUAAAAGCUACUACCAAAUAAUACAAAAUUUACUCGACGUGACAAAAAUAUACUAUCAGUGUCAUAAAUAUACUAUCACAAGGUGAAAAACAUAUUGUCACUUUGUUGAAAAUAUACUACCAAGUAACAUAAAAGCUGCUCAAUCUUUUUGGCUCAUAUAUUAGUCACUGAUCACUACAUCAUGUACAUUAAAGCUUUAUAACUCUUAAAACCAAGACAAAGCAACUAUAACCAACAAUAAAAACUACUACCAUUAUCAACAAAAAUUACUAACGCAAAGCUAAACAAUAACUACUGUCACCGACAACAAAAUCUACUACUAAACAAAACGAAAUCUAUUGUCAUAGGUUGAGAAAGAUACUAGCAUAGAAAUUGGAAAAAAAAAAAAAAAAAGGAAAAUGUCCAUUUAAUACUAAUUUAAACCCCUCGUUUCUCAUCCAAAUGACAAUCUUUUUCAUUAGUCCAUUCCAAUAUAAGGUAACAUUUUUUAUGCCCAAAUAUAUAAAUCUUUACUAAAGUCUUAACAAACCAUAUUAUUUUAAGACUAUUUUGCCCUCAGCCCUUAAACACGCAUAGAGAGAGAAUACUUGGCCGAAAUCUCACCAGGCUCCGGUCACCGGCAGUCGGACUCCAGUCACCAGCCGCCGGACUCCGGUCACCGGUUGUCGGAUUCCUACUAUAUAUACGGAGGAUCUAAAGAGGACCUCCUUAUUUUAAGAAUUUGAGGAUUUCUAUUAUUUUACAUUAGUAGAUGACUUCAUUUAAUGACAUCAACCAUUGAUCUUUUACAUUCAUAUGCAAGAAACAUGUUUACAAAAUUCCAACUAAUUUCAUAAUCAUUUGAUCAUUUAAAUAGAUGUAAAUAAUUGUAGGCCGUUAGAUAAAAUUAAAACCAAUAUUGUGCUAAUCAAAUGGUUAAAUAUUUUUCAUUUUGGCUAAUUUUUUUAGGAUUCAUAUGUGGGAAGUAACUAGGGAAUGAGUGGCUUUGAUUGUCAAAAUACAUCAUAAAACUAAAAACAUCCUCACUUUAAGAGUUUAAUGAGGUCAUCUCUAUAUCCGGACUAUAUAUAUAUAUAUACAUAGAGGCCGGAUCAGGAGUGGACGUCCGCACCGGCCUUAAAGUGCAGACGUCCGUCCGUUCUCCACCCUCCGGCGCCGGUGCGCCUCCAACCCAGAAGACUCCAGCAGCGUCACCGACCACUUUCCCUCCCCGGCGAGUCCGUUCUUUUCCAGCUUUCCGACGAGAUCACCCAAAACUUCAAACAAAGUCGAUCUUGCCGGAAAACUGGAAAAAAAAUGGACUCACCGAAGAGGGAAAGUGGUCGGGGACGCUACUGGAAUCUUCUAGGGUGGAGGCGUGCUGUCGCCGGCGCCGGAGGGUGGAGAAUGGACGGACGUCCGCACUUUAAGCCGAGUGCGGACGUCCACUUCUUAUCCAGCUUUAGAUUAGCUUAGUUCCAAGGUAAAAGCCUUGCUUGGAAAAAGAAAUCAUGUUUCUGUUUAUAUUCAAGGAAUGAAAUCUCUUGAUUGUAUGUUCCUGUUCCAUAACAUUUAUUUCGUCAUACAUUGAUGGAAGCAAAAGUUUUGUAGAUUCCUCGCUUUGGUUCAAACAGUUAAAGUUGAUUGCAGAUCAACAGUCGUAAUUUGGAUCGGGUUCGUAUGCUGAAGAGUGCAAUGACCAGGUUGACAAAUCGGGUUCAAAAAGUAAGUUUGAGUUAUUCAUCUGGGACAUGGAUUUUGUACUCCUGCUCAAAUGGCUUAUAGUCAGCUGAAUUUUGAUAGAGUAAUGCUAGGUGAAACAUUUAGGUGACAGCUUAUGUGACAUUGUCACUUCAUCAAACCAUAAUUUCAUAAUAUUUUUAUUUUUAUUUUUCUUAAUUAGUUACAGUUUUCUUUUCUUUUUUUCACUUUCAUGUUAUUGUCUUAACCCUAUUUUUUCCGCUUCUUCUCUCAAAUCUAUAUCUGCCGUCUUCAUCUCUAUCGAUCAGACUUUCAACUGGUCUAUUCUCUCCUCCUCUCUCACCAAUUGCAAUAACACUACUAGAAAAGGGGGCUAAGGGGGACGAAUAAAAUGGGUAUAGAUAUCAUUUGCUCCAUCUAUGACUUUUUGUGUUGAUUUCAUCCAUAAUAAUUUGGGAAAUUUGCAGCUGAUAUUCCUUCAAGAUGAAGGUAGUUUAUUAUUUUAAGUAAAACCUAGGUAUUUGCUUAAGUUAGGGUGAAGUUUGUAUAUGAGUACCAGACUUAAUGAAUGUUCAAUUUUUUUUUUUUUCCUAGAUCUCAAAUCAAUUACGUAUGUAUAUGCCUCUAAAUAGGCUAAACACUCAUCUCAAGUCUAAAUAUAGUUUUAAAAUUUUAGAAAGCAUCAUCUGAUGAUAGAAAGGAUAACAACAAGCCGGCAGUACAAUCUGGCAAAUAAUGAAAAAUCAGGUUUUUUGAUUUCCAACCAUUGUUACAAUACUAUAGAUCUAAUAAGCAUAGGUAAACAGGUGUUGAGGUUGUUUGAUUUUCAACAGUAUACACGAAUUGACCAAAUGCUUCAUCAAUUAUCAUAUAGCUAUGGCCAGAGAUCAUCAGGAGACUGCAUGAUAAAGUUCGAGUUCCCCGGUCGAUCGAUCUUCAAGGAAAAUUAUGAUCUAUAACUCUGUUCUAAUGUAUUGAGUAUUGACAGAGUUCUUGAAUUCCAAACAUGUACUUUCAUCAUUAUUUUAAUUCUUUACAAUCAUUAAUUUCAUAAAACAUCAAUACAUCAUAUAUAUAAAACGAUUCAAACACCAAAUAGACAUAGUCAGGAAACCAAUCUUAAAAUUAAUAUUAUUGAAGAUGGAUCAAAGCUUGUAUAUGCUUAGGUUUGGAGAUGAAGACCGCAGAUGUAGAUUUGAGAGGAUACGGGGAGGGGGGGGGGGGGGGGGGGGUGGUGAAUAGAGUCAAAAGACAAUAACAUGUAACUAAGAAAAAAUUGUAAAAUAAUAUAAAAUAAAAUAAUAUGAAAUCAAGGUUUGAUGAAGUGGCUAUGUCACAUAAGCUGCCACCUAAAGUGGGCUGUAAGGUGGUUCCCGAAAGCUGUCAUCUAAAGUGGACUAUAAAGUGGUUCCCUAAAAGAUGGUUCAUGUACAUUACUCAUUUUGAUAUAUGCUUAUUGAGUGCCCAUAUAUGACCUAGUGAUUAAUUAAUGUUGUUCGAUGUGCUUUGACCAUAGUUAGACUUGCUUCUACUGUGGCUAAUGUUUAUGGAGUUGUGCAUGGAUUUGUUCAUAAUUUAAUCCUCUAAUCAAAUUCCCUUAAUGUUGUAUUGGUGUGUCCUUACUCCUUACCAACGGUGCGAAAUCUCUAGUAUAACAAAUAAGUUAAAAUUUACAUAUAUUACACUUGAUUCCUAAGUGUAAUACUGGAUGAAGGUAUGGGAUAAACUCGAACAGCUUCUUGACGAUGACGAUAACAUGGCCGAUCUUUACAUAUCAAGAAAGUUGGUUGGCACUUCACCUGUGAGUGACUCUGGUGCUCCAAAUUGGUCUUUCGCAUCUCCUUCUAUAACCAUCGGCUCUAAAGUAUCCAGAACCAGCAGGGCAAGUGUAACAACAAUUCAGGAGGAGAAUGACGUGGAGGAGCUUGAGAUGUUGCCCGAGGU